GACAUCUAAUUUGCUUUAAAGAUUCUAUCAUUUAUUAUUUGAGUUUUGACAGAGAAGUUCGUUGAUUUUAAAUAAUAAUGUGAUAUUUGCUCAAUAAAGAUCCGAAACAAUCAUGAUGCACUGUAAUGUAAUUGUUCAUUGUAUAUUUUGUGUUAAAGGAUAUGCCUCUAUAUAUUCUUAUAAAUUUUAGUUUAAUUAUAAGAAUUAUGUUCCAAAUGGGGCUAUAUAGGCAUCUGAUUAUACUUCGUGUUCCGAGCUUGAGAAUCUAAUCAACUUUUAUUUAAGAUGUUGAGUAUCCUUUUAUGUGAUAGUACUUGGGAGUUAGUCGAUUAAUCAAUAUAUUUUAUUAAACUGGAUCUUUUUCACAUUACGAUAAGAUGUCAAUUUUGAGUAUCCUUUUAUGUGAUAGUACUUGGGAAACCAAUAUAUUCUAUUAAACUGGACCUUUUUCCGCAAGGCAUGUUAGUCGACUAUCCGAUUUAGUUAAUCGACUAACCUAAUGACAGUUGCCUAAGUUAAUCGCACUUUAGUUAAUCGAUUAACCUUAUGUUCGUUGCCUGUUCAUCGACUAGUCUUUUUUUAACGUUGAAACAGGUUAGUCGAUUAUCUAUUUGGUUAAUCGACUAACCUCAGCAGA
rnacentral:lncRNA from 1 species